ensembl:lncRNA
CCUUCUCUAGCGCCGCGUCUCAAAGCCGGGGCCCUCUAAUAAGACUGACCCCUCGCUGUCAUGUACCGGCCAGAUAUUCACCGCGUUGCCUGCUUGAGAGGCUGCUGGAGAAAGGAUAUAAAUGUCACUCACAGCACCGCUUGAAAAUCCCAGUCUAUGUCUGCUUACAGUCCUGAUUUUCCAAAACACUCUACCUCAUCGCAAAUGUCACAUUACUGAAGCGAACACAGUUUUAUCCUGACCGUAAAAGACUACAGCUGAUCAUAAAAAUAUCUAAACCACAGGAGUAAUUCUGCUAAUGAGCAUAUGGCAGCGGCGUCUGAUAAUGAAGAGAAAGGUCAUUAAAUGAGACUUCGACAUCUGAUACAUAAAGAACGAGGCUGAAUGGAAUAGAUUUUACAGUGCUUGACGAUCAAGGUGAUGAUCUUGUAUCUCGGCGCAGUGGCCCUCGGGGAAGUCGACUGUAAUUGGACGAACUCAUCACCUAAUGUGCCGGCAGCGAGGAGCUCCGCCCUUCAUCAUCACAAUGACCUUCAUCUGCCUCCACGUCUUCACAACAAGACACAGAUCUCAGAAACAGUCAAAGCACCAAACCUCAAGCACAAAAGGGAAAGGAAGCCAACAGAAGAAUCGACUUGCAUGACUUGCAAAGACAGACAGCAAAAGUACAGAAACUCCAGUAUAUAUUUGAUCAUUUGUCCUGAAUUGUAAAAAAUAUUUUAGAGCUCAUUUUAACAGAAGUAAGAGUGUAACAUAUCAUUAAAAUUUCUGAUUAAAAUGUGCUAUUUAAAAUGUUUUAAUUUAAAUAUAUUUUCUAGAAUUUUAUUUUUAGCGUUUUGUAGAAUUUUAUUUCAAAAG